AUUGAACGCUGGCGGCAGGCCUAACACAUGCAAGUCGAGCGGAUGAAGGGAGCUUGCUCCUGGAUUCAGCGUCGGACUGGUGUGUAAUUCCUAGGUAUCUGCCUGGUAGUGGUGUAUUACGUCCUUAAACGGGCGCUUAUACCGCAUACGUCCUGAGGGUGAAAGUUGGGGAUCUUCGGACCUCACGCUAUCAUAUUAUCCUAGGUCGGAUUAGCUAGUUGGUGUGGUAAAGGCCUACCAAGGCGACGAUCCGUAACUGGUCUGAGAGGAUGAUCAGUAACACUGGAACUGAGACACGGAACAGAGUACUACGGGAGGCAGCAGUGGGGAAUAUUGGAGAAUGGGCGAAAGCAUGAUACAGGAAUGCCGCGUGUGUGAAGAAGGACUUCGGAUUGUAAAGCACUUUAAGUGGGGAGGAAGGGAAGUAAGUUAAUAACUUGAUGUUUUGACGUUAACAAAAGAAUAAGCACCGGCUAACUUCGUG
rnacentral:rRNA from 1 species